GCUUGUCUCAAAGAUUAAGCCAUGCAUGUCUAAGUACAAGCCUCAGUAAGGUGAAACCGCGAAUGGCUCAUUAAAUCACACCUAAUCUACUGGAAAGUUACUAGUUACUUGGAUAACUGAGGUAAUUCUUGAGCUAAUACGUGCACCAAGUCCCGACUCUUGAAGGGAUGUAUUUAUUAGAUUAAAGACCAAUGCGGGCUUGCCCGGUAUUGUGGUGAAUCAUAAUAACUCCUCGAAUCGCAUGGCCUUGCGCCGGCGAUGUUUCAUUCAAAUUUCUGCCCUAUCAAUUUGAUGGUAGGAUAGAGGCCUACCAUGGUGGUAACGGGUGACGGAGAAUUAGGGUUCGAUUCCGGAGAGGGAGCCUGAGAAACGGCUACCACAUCCAAGGAAGGCAGCAGG
rnacentral:rRNA from 1 species